GAUGAAGAACGCAGCGAAAUGCGAUACUUGGUGUGAAUUGCAGAAUCCCGUGAACCAUCGAGUCUUUGAACGCAAGUUGCGCGUCAAGCCAUUAGGUUGAGGGCACGUCUGCCUGGGCGUCACAUAUCGUUGCCUGAUGCCAGUUUCCUCGUGAUGGGUGACUGUGCAGGGCGAAUGAUGGGUUCCCGUGAGCAUUGUUGCCUCAUGGUUGGUUGAAAAUUGAGUCCUUGGUAGGGAGCGCCGUGAUAGAUGGUGGUUGAGUGACGAACGAGACCCAAUCAUGUGAGACCCCUACCGAAUUUGGCCUUCAUGACCCACAUGCGUCUUUGGAACGCUCAUGACGAGACCUCAGGUCAGGCGGGGCUACCCGCUGAGUUUAAGCAUAUCAAUAAGCGGAGGA
rnacentral:misc_RNA from 1 species